GGAUGAUUUCACUCCCACUGGGACAGGAGAACCACCACUUUCAAAAGCAGUUUCUUAGGUUGUGACCGCUGAUCCUUUGUCGGGAAAGCCUGCCAGACGCGAAACAAACACCAUGCCACAGUGGGCUGGUUCAUGCUGGUACUAUAUGAGAUUUAUGGACCUUAAAAAUUCCGAAGCGUUGGUUGAUAAGAUGAAAGAAAUGUAUUGGAGCCCUGUUGAUGUGUAUGUCGGCGGUGCUGAACAUGCUGUUCUUCACUUACUUUAUUCCAGGUUCUGGCACAAGGUUCUCUAUGACAUUGGUGUUCUAAUUCAAACCAGGGGAUUAUCCGAGGGGAAGUACAGUUGCUUGGUCACAAAACUCUGUUGAUGUGUUCGGAGAGCAUCAUCAAGAAAGAAUACCUGAUGAAAAAGCAUCAUCAAGAAAGAAUACCCGAUGAAAAAGCGUUCAUCGAUUUUUGGGGACAGUUUGGAGAUUGAUAGUUGGUUCAUCUUUACCCAAUGGUAAAUUCAGAGAUGGAACAGUGGCAAUUGACAAGGAGCCUCUAUUGGAACAACUUCGUUUUCUCCAUAAAUGCAUUGAUAAGGUAUUAUCAUUA